rnacentral:rRNA from 1 species
AACUUUCAGCAACGGAUCUCUUGGCUCUCGCAUCGAUGAAGAACGCAGCGAAAUGCGAUAAGUAAUGUGAAUUGCAGAAUUCAGUGAAUCAUCGAUCUUUGAACGCACCUUGCGCCCCUUGGCUAUUCCGAGGGGCAUGCCUGUUUGAGUAUCAUG